UUUUAUUACAAAAUAUUUGUUUUACUUACAUAGCUGAAACGGAAGGAGAUUUGGUAAUAUAUAUAUACAUAACGAUAUACAGUAGAAACCCUCCAUGGUCUAUUUAUAGUAAAGAUAAAUAUUAUGAAUAGGUAGCUAGUAGACUAUGUUCAUACUAAGCCAAGCGGUCGCUCGGUAUUUUCGUUUACAUUUUACAAGAAUGCUUGUCACUUCAAGUCAGUCUUCUUUCCUUUUCUACUUUUUCUUGAAAAGUUUUUUUGUGACUUUUCACAGCUAUUUGGAUUUGUUUAACUUUCAUGACAUUACAUAAAAAGAUACUUAUUAGGACAAGGUGCUGUAGCGUAAGUCUAUAUCAUUAAAAUGAUUUCAUGUUUUUGUCAUAGAACGCCUUAGAUAAAGUUAAUAUUUAAACUGAAAAUCUACUUAAUGGGACAUAACUCUAACCAACUUCUAAUAUGAAAGAAAUAAGAAACUAUUUUAAUAAAUAUGUAUUAACGAA
rnacentral:lncRNA from 1 species